rnacentral:misc_RNA from 1 species
GGAAAACCUUGGUCCCCAACUUCUAUUUUGGACCCUAAUGCCAUGGUACAAUUGUUAUUAAUACUUGGGAAGCUCACUGGAACGCACCUCUGAUCAACCAAAUUUUCCUACCCUUUGAAGCUUUUGAUAUUCUCCAGGUUCCAAUAAGCUUAAGAUUGCCAUUCGACGCGCAUUAUUGGGCUGGGAAAAAAAAUGAGAAAUUCUUCGUCAAGAGUGCCUACCACUUCACCUGAUAGCUCUAACUACAACAUGAUCCUGGUGCAUCUACAGCCUAUCAUAUUUUUCCAUAUUAGCAAAGGGUCUGGUCUCUUGAGGUUCUACAAAAGGUAAAAAUUUUCUCUUGGAAACUAAUUUUAGGAAUUCUUCCUACUAAAGUUAAUUUAGAAGCAAAAGAAUUGAGAUUCAAAAUAUGUAUGUAUUAUGCAAGGAAGCCAGUGAAUCGACUAAUCAUCUUUUCUUUGAGUGUCCUUUUACUAAGCAGAUUUGGUACUCUAGUCCUUUCGAUUGAAAUCUCCUGUCGAUAUAAAUUGUUCAUGUGUGGAUAUACUCUGUUGGGUUUUUCAUUCAAGAGAAAUUGAGUUUAUGGAAUUUUUUGUAAUUCUAGCUUUAAGCUUAUGGUAGGAAAGCAAUGGGUUCAUUUUUCACAAUCAUGCACCAGAUGUUACCAAGGUUUUGAAUAGUGGCAUUGGUUUAUGGGUGGAAAACAAAAAGGCUAGAGUGAAAAGUGAUGUGCUGCGACAUGGAGUUCAAGCUGUGUGAUGGGUACCACCACCUACAAUUCAUUACAGAUUAAAUUCAUAUGUAGCAGUAUUUGAGGAAGGAUUCAUCAGGCUAGGUUUUGUUGUUCGAGACCAUUGGGGAAAUGUGCUAUUGUCAGUAAUCAAAAGAUUAGCUGUAGUGUCGGAUCCAUCAAUGGGUGAAAGUGUUGCAAUUAAGUAUAGAAUAGAGCUAACUAUAAUGCUUGUUUUUUCUGAUAUCAUUGUGGAAAGUGACAGUUUGGUCUCGGUACAAACUCAGAAUGAAAUGAUUGCACAAAGUCCAUACCAUGAAUUGUUGGUGGAGGAUAUUUUAGAUUUAUGUUAUACUUUUAGCUUUGUAAGGCAAGCUAACCAGGUCGCUCAUUCACUAGCAAAAUUAGCACAUUCUUCUCCUGGUGAAAGUGUGGGAUGGAGGAGUUACCUACCUCAAUUGUGAAUUUUGCUACUCUU